rnacentral:rRNA from 2 species
GGACUACCAGGGUUUCUAAUCCCGUUCGCUCCCCUGGCUUUCGCGCCUCAGCGUCAGAAGAGGUCCAGCACGCCGCUUUCGCCACCGGCGUUCCUUCCGAUAUCUACGCAUUUCACCGCUCCACCGGAAGUUCCGCAUGCCCCUACCUCCCUCGAGGCCAGCAGUAUCCAAGGCAAUUCCCCGGUUGAGCCGGGGGCUUUCACCCCGGACUUGCUGGCCCGCCUACGCGCCCUUUAAGCCCAGUGAAUCCGAACAACGUUCGCACGGUUCGUCUUACCGCGGCUGCUGGCAC